GUGCUGAGAUUACAGGCAUGCACCAUCACACCAGUUUGUGGAAUGUUUCUUAAAUUUAGACUGUGGCCUCAAGUCUGAAACAGAUGCAGAAGGCUAAACUCCACUCUUGGGUCUAGAGAAGAGGCACUAAGAUUGGCAUGGGAGCUAGGAGCUGCACCAUCCCAGAACAGGAAAAGGCAUCGGAGGUUUCUCCAUCUGACAGGAACCAUGACUCCAAAAGCACACUUUGACAGAAUCUGCAGUGACCAAUGACCUAACACUAAGCCCCACCGAGGACCAAGCUUCUAAAACCCGAAUCUUUAAGAGGAUAUAUGCAACACAUUUGCAAACCAGAGUGUCCUUCCCACCUCAGGCUUUUAUUUUUCUGUCCUCUUCCAGCAAAGCCACCAGAGAGUCCCUUCUUAGAGCCAGAAGCUAGCAGGGGCUGGGACAGACUCUCUGGGGGGUGAGAAUCCCCCUUCUUGUCAAUAGUGUGUGCCUUUUCCUGUCAGCAGACACAGCAUGGUGCCCCAGGAAGAGGAGCACCAAGGCUGGUGGGACCAGUGUCCUCCAAGAGACUUGGCUGCAUGCUUUGGGGAUCAGCUCUGGACCCAGAGAUCUCCAGCGCCCUCAUGGAGCACAGCUCAAUCCAGAGGCAGAAACCAAUGAGGCAGCUAUGUGGCGUCCACACCAUGCGGCCAACUUCCGGCUCUAUUGGCUUAUCUUGAAUCAAAAACUCCCCCAGCGAGAACGUUACUCUCUAGCCAGGACAGGGAAAGCUUUGUGUGUUAACAAUAGUCCUGGCAUUUGUGCUCAGGAUGACCUCAAAGACCUUUUGUUCUUCUGCUCUGGAUGCUUGGUGAUCAUUGUGUGAAGAGAACUCAAGGACAAAGGCUUGGACAGGACAGCCCUGACCGGUCACUCGGUGUGGAGGACACAUACCUUUCUCAAGGUGCCAGGACUUGGGCUAGUUACUGGGUCAUUUUGGCACCGACCCACUGGGCCCCUGGACGAUUUCCCUGCCACAUUCCCAUCUGCUCCUGUCUUGAAUAGAGACAGCACAUCUCCUGGGAGGACUGUGUGAAGUUCUCGCCUCAAGCACUUGCAAUGAUGAAGUCUGUGAUGCUCACGGAACAUUGUAGACUGUGGAAACAGGAGCCAUCACAGCUCAGCUGAGGCUUGGACCUGGCCUUGGACUAAGGAGAGGGGCUUAGUGCCCACUGGGCUCCGAAACAGGGUGGCAUGUGUGUGUAUGUGUGUGUGUGUGUGUGUGUGUGUGUGUGUGUGUGUAGUGGUGUACACCUGAAAUUCCAGCACUCUGGGGAGCUGCGGCAGGAGGACUGCAAGUUUGAGCCAGCCUGGGCAACUUAGUGAGACCCUGUCUCAAAGUAAGAAAUAAUGAAGAGUUGGGGAUGUAGCUCAGUGCAAACACCCCGGUUCAAUCCCUAGUACUGCCCAAACAAACAAACAAACACAAGAAAAAAGAAAAGUUAUUAGAGAUCAAGAGGGUAAAAUUGUGGUUUAAAAUAAAACGAAGCAAAAUAAAAUGAUUGAUCAGUAAGUCAAAGUACCAGACUAUCUGGGAGGGCAGGUUCUAAGCAAGGAGGCAGAAAACCUGGGCUGCACAUGGAGAGGAAAGUGGGGUGAAGCAAACAGAAUGUCCAUUCAGCAUGGAGCCUGCAGAAUGUUGCAGAGAACACAGCCCGGUGGAGCCAAGUGUCAUCUUUUUAUCCUAAUUUGUUGGUCUCUGUUGGCUGUCAGAAGUGCUCAGGGUAGAAGUGGCUAUGCCCAGUGUUCUCACAAUGGGUAGGUUGAUCACUCCACAGAAGGGGGCUCAUAGAGUGCAUUAAAAUGGCAGCAGCCCAGGCAUGGUGGCACAUGUCUAUAAUCCCAGCACUCUGGAAGCCGAGGAAGGAGGAUCUCAAGUUCAAAGGUAGCCUGGUUAACUUAGUGACUUAGCAAGACCCUGUGUCAAAAAAAGCAGGAGUGGCAUUGGAGAUGUAGCCCAAUGCAAAGGCCCAGGGUUCAAUCUCCAAUACUAAAAAAAAAAAGCAACAGGAUGCCAAAGAACCAUAGUGGACAGAGCAAAACCAUGGGCUUGCAUUUCUUCUACUCCAGUGUCUCUAAAAUAUCCUACUCAUUUAGUUGGAAGAGAUCUCAUGGCCAAAUCUCUCCCCACCUUCCCAGUCAUCUUUGAUUACCAACCCAGAAAUGCAACCCAAAAAUGACUGUCCUGAGAACACUGGCUGAAAAGUCUGAUAUGACCAAGAUGUAACCUGUGGGGCUGCAUGGAGAUUCUCUGCCCCCUGAUGUUAGGAUGACCCCUGGUUGGGGGCAUGGGAGCUUUGGAGUUCAAGAUCCCCUGAUGCCCUGGGAGAGCCACUCUACAGUUUCCAUCCUGCUUCCUCUAGAGUACUAUGGGUCUUCCUCGUACUCCUCAGUGCCUUGAAAACUCCCUACAAACCUCAGAUCUACAUGGUAGACUAGUGAGAACUCACUGGCCCAUUGCACAGGCUCAGAGCUAUGUGUGUGAGGGCCUCAACCCUGGAAAGUGUUUCCGAGCCUGUGUGAAGUGUGCAGCCUCCCAAGAGCUCCCCCGUCCCCUGCUCUGCUCUUCCCUCCCCCAACACUCACAGCCUCCCCUUGGGCAGGGGUGUCCUGUGCAGACAGCCCCAGGUUGUCACCCUGUCCCUGGCUGCUCUGUUAUCUCUUGAUCCUAAGGGUCAGCUGUCUCCUGGAUGUCACUACCCUAAGUCCUCUCAGGAUGGCCCCAUUUCUGUUGAGGGCUAAUCCGGGGCCAGGCAGCAGCCUUGAAGCCUCACUGACCUCGAAGAGCAUCAGCAUCCUCCCGAUUCCCCCUUGUCUCCACGUCCCCUCACUUAAGUGUCCUCUUCACUGUGCCUCUGCUGUCACCGUGUUGGGCCUGGUCAUAGAAGGCCUCCUUCAGCAUCUACCACAGUCUUCUGACACUUCACCUCCACCCUCCUCCACUUCCCUCCUCAAGGCUGUUUCUCCUCCGCAAGCCCAGUGGGCAAGCCCUCCCUGGCUUCCGCGGCUCCAAACCCACACAGCCACCCUUCCAACCUUCUCUUCUGCCAUGCUCCACUCCAAAGUCUCAAGACCACCAGACUGUCCCCAGCCACACUAUGGAUUUCUCUCUCACACCUAUGUUUCUGCAUUAAUAUCACUUGGAAAUGUCCCCCAUUUCUCAUAAUCUUCCUGUUCAGUGCCCCCUGGAGCAGAUUCCAGGCCACCCCAGCUGCAGCAUUUCUUGACUUGCCAACAAUUAUUCCUGCUCCCCUGAAAUCUGUCACUCACUGCCCAUGUGUCUUCCACUCUGCAUAUCACAAGGGGUGAUAUUUAAGGUACGAAAGAAGUGUCAGUUUCCUGGUGUUCCUAGUACCCACUACCAAGGCCUCCAUAUCAGCUCAUUUGGAAAUUCAAAAAAUGUUUCCCCUUCCUCAAAACACUACCUCCCAGGUCAUUGUUGGAAUCAAUAAGCACAUUUACGAAGUUCAAGAUGAAUGAUAGCCCUUGACACAGAUGGUGCCAACCUGCCUGGGCCCUGCCCUGAGGUCCCAGCAGCAGGACUGCUUCCCACCACUGUACACAUCAAGUUCAAGUUCUUGGAUUGCAGCUUUCAGGUAGACUUUGUCUCUUUCCAGCUGAAAACUAAAGCACUUUUGACUUGCAAAACCAGGCUGCCCUGAGAUAAAUUUCUUUGGUAAUUCCACAGGAUGGACUUGCACACGUGAGCCGGGCUUGACCCAUGGUUCAUAUUAUGAAAUCUAGCAGGUGGCAAGAGGAUGGGGAAUGGCAAGUGGUGACACAGAAUAGCUGUCUAUGUACCCCACCCCAAAAUUUGGAGGCACCAGUAAGCAGGAAGAAAGUAGUCCACAGAGAAUCAGGAAUGUUCUCCCAGGUUCCCCUCCAUGCCCUGCCUGGCUCCCAGUGAAAGCACCAAUGGGUGAAGCAACUGAAGCCUCAGAAACCCAGGUGGGUGAGGGAGGAACAGGGAGAAUGAAUUCUCAAAUACCACUGACUGUAUAAGAGGUGAUUGAAAAAUAAGGUGAGUGUUUAUAUUUUUAAAAAUUUAUUACAGUAAAGACACAUUGUCAUCAA